rnacentral:rRNA from 1 species
ACGCUUGAAGUCAGUCACGUUGACUUGGAAUCAGCUCUGCUUUUGCUGGGUGUACUUUCUUGUCAAUGGGUCAGCAUCAAUUUUGACCAUUGGAUAAAGUUGCUGGGAAUGUAGCAUCCUUUUGGAUGUGUUAUAGCCUGGUGAUGCAUACGGUGGUUGGGAUUGAGGAAUUCAGCACGCCACAAGGCCGGGUUUCGACCACGUUCGUGCUUAGGAUGCUGGCAUAAUGGCUUUAAUUGACCCGUCUUGAAACACGGACCAAGGAGUC